rnacentral:lncRNA from 1 species
CCCACAGCCCUCUGUUAUAGCCCAGCCUUCCUCCUGGGAGCUGCACUGGCUACCCAAAGCAGAAAACACUACAAAGGAUGAGGAAGAACAGCAACAAAACCAUAUUCAGCAGCCUAGGAGUAACAUACCAGGAAGGGCACACUGACCCAGCCAUGAAUUUGGGGUUUCACCUUCACUCACAUCACAAACACAGAUGUGUGCUUCAGCAUUUGUGGCUUCAGGAUUGCUUCAGCUCCAGGUUGGAGCGGAGAUUGCCUUUUGCCUUUCUCAGUGUCCCAGUGGGGCGACUUGGGCUGUGGCUGCGUGGUUUGCAGUGUCACCCACAUGAAAAUUACAGCCCUUGCACCAGCAGAUGUGCUGUAAGGCCAGGGGGAGCACCACCCAUGCUUAUGGUUUCAUCCCAGGAGGCAGAACUUAAGAGAUGCCACAGAUGUCACGGUGGAAGCCAUCAACCCUCUCACACCUGGCUAGAGAUGCACUCACAAGCACCUUGUGCUCCUUCCCAGCAGCUCCCAAAGCAAUGUUAGAGCCUCCCCUGCCCAGCACAGAUGUGAUUCCUGCCUACUGCAGGCAGACGGCACACCUGGAGCCAGCCUUCAUGCUCCACCAGCUGUCAUUGACCUCAGUGACUCAGCCCCACUCUUGGUUUUGUUCCUGCUAUUGAACUCAUCACCUAUUUCUCUUGUUUCCAGCCCAAACCAUCCUGCUGCACCGGGAAGCUGAAUUCCUCAGUGCUGCUGGGUAAGAGCUCGAGUUAGCACCAGCAGCUGCUACACAGCCCUGCCUUGCAUGGGGUUCUUCUCUCCCAAAGUUUGGGAGAUGGCAAACAAGUCACUGAAAUGGCCACAGAGUGAAAAGAGAAAGAAUGAAAGAACUGCCCUCAUUAAAAGUAUGGAGCAUCAACCAGGAUCUGAGCUCCGGACUCAGGAGACCAAGGCAGCUUUCUGCUUGGAUGCCUGUUUCCUCUCUAUGAAAGACCAGGAUCGUCUUCAGAGGGAAGGAAAAGGGUUUGUUGCACGAUGUGGGCUCACAGCUGCUGCAGUGAGUCCUUGCAAGAAAGGUCUGCAGAGCACCUCCCUGCUUCCAGGUGAGCUUUUGUGGCCACGAGCUGCAUGAGUGGUCAAUCAAAGCAGGUGUCAACCUCUGACCAGUGUUUGGCUCAUAUCCCAGGCUGGGGUCACACAGCCAAACUAACCCCGUGGAUCUGUAGGCAGAAGGCAGGGCUGCGUGCACACGUCCAGCACGUGAAGUCAAACCAAAUGAGAAAUAAAUACCAAAUUUCUUCAGACAUUAAGAUAAAAAACAGAGGGGUUGGGAUGAAGGCAGCUUCCUGCCUGUAGGUGCUGUGACUGCAGGCUGGGAGCUGAUCCCUCACCGCCGACUGCCCUUCCCUGCUCGUCAGCACACUCCGCACUGCAGUAUGUGGAACCCAGCUCUCCUAGUAGCACAGACCCAUCUGUGUCUGAAUUCUCCUCUGGUAUACACACCUUAAAUCUUCUUUCUCCUUCCUUCUGCAAAGACAAAGCAUCUCUCUGGAGUAAUUGGAUAAUUGGCCUUUCUAUUAUGCUUUGCUGGAAGAGCAAGACAGGAGAUCCGUUAAAACCGCGCAUCAGGAUGCUAUUGAACAGUUUUGUUGGUCUAAAUCAUCUUGCCCCAUUCAGGCUUAAGUAGCAAGAUCACAUUUCUUGCCUAGAAAUCGCCUGCUUAGCCAUAAUUACCAUAUAAACAGCACCUCAAGAAAGCCAAGAAAGGAGAAGCAGAGCUUCCAGGACUAAUCUCUUGCUCCUCUAGCCCACUGCUAAGCAGCUGAGUGCUUUCUAAAUCAAGUCACACUACCCAGGAAGCUUCACCUGCCACCUUUACAUUCCACUCCCUCCAUAUUUUAUCACUUAGGUGCUGUCACCCUGCAAUUUAUCACAAAAGCUCUACCACGGCUGAGAUAAUUAAUAGCAGGCUGGUAUUAUGCCUCCCAUUUGACUAAACUUCAGCCCUCAGCUGGCCGUUAGGUGGCCCAAACUCCUCUCCAAGGGCUUCUGGAGGCUCUUCAUCUCUAUAUAUUAGAAUUUACAACUGCAGCUCUUGCCUCCAGCACUUACAGUGUUGUUUGCCCUUCCCAGCAGCCUCUCCCAUGUAUGCCCAAGCAGGAAUAAAGGAAACUGCCAGCAUCCCUGGAAGACACAGCCUCCUUUUCCAAACCACCUCCAGUUUGCAGUGCAGGCUGCAGAACGCACCCUGACCAGUGACCCCGAAGGCAUCUGCUGAGGGGCACCACAAGUUCCAAUCCUGCAAGCCUCUCAGCUGUUCUGAUCUGUCUUCAAAAGCUUUCCUGUGAAACAGAGCUGUAUAUAUAUUCAUACCCAGCUCUCAUCGUUCUGCUUCCAUCCUUGGAAGAACGCAAGCGUGAAUUCAACUCAAAGAUGCCAAAUUGGAGACGAGUAGAUAACUAAAGGCAGAGGAAUAACCCCACCUCGACCCCACCUUGGCUGGAUUGAGCUUUGGGCCAAAUCCUUGAUUCACCCUCAGUGAUUCCUGUCCUUGGACAAGGGACAGAGGCUCCAGGCCUUGCUCAGAGGAAACAGCCCGGAGGUAUGCAACAACCACAGAGAUGGGGCACCCAGGGACACGGUCAGUGGGCACAGUGGGGUUCAGCUGGACUUAGGGAUCUUCAUGGUCUUUUCCAACCUUAAUGAUUCUGUCAUCUGCACCCUCCCAGGUGCACGGUGAAGCCAAGCCUUGCAUCUUCCCUCUGCACACACAGGAAUGGCCUCUUGGGAAGCCACCUAUGGAUGCACAGCACCAGGAGAGGACAGAGCUUUGCAGUCGCCUCCACCUAUUCCCACCUGCCGCUCUUUCCAUCAUCAGCCUUCCCACUGUGGAUUACUCCCAAGCACCUCUUGAUAGGGGGACCCCCCCAAGCACUGAUGUGUG